rnacentral:rRNA from 1 species
AUGAACCCCUCCUCGGCUCCGGGCCCGGAUGGAUUGCCAGUCUCGUUUUUCAAAACAUUCUGGCAAACCAUCAAACCAGAGAUCAUGGCCCUCUUCGACGAGUUCUUCUCUGGGACAAUGGACCUUGGGCGCCUGAACUACGGGAUCAUUACCCUCAUCCCUAAGGUUCCUUGGGCCUCGGAUAUUCGCCAGUUCCGCCCGAUCACGGUGAUUAACGUGAUCUUCAGGAUCCUGGCUAAAGGGUACGCCAAUAGGGUGACCCUUCUCGCGGAGUCUGUCACCCACUCCAACCAAUCCACCUUCAUACAAGGCCGGUAUAUUUUGGAUGGGAUGUUGUCUUCCACGAAGUCCUGCAUGUAGUCUGGUCCAAAAACCACCGCGCGGUGUUCCUUAAGCUCGACUUUCACAAGGCAUACGACACUGUCCACUGGCCCUUCAUUUGGGAAGUUUUGCUUCGAAAGGGCUUCAACGACCGCUGGGUGA